UUACGUAUCACCUGGGCAUUUUGUUAAAAAGCAGAUUCUGAUUCUGCAGGUGUGGAAUGGUAUUUUAGAUUCUUUGUUUCUCAUUAGGUCCCAGGUGAGGCUGAA
rnacentral:pre_miRNA from 1 species